UUAGACCCAAUAAUAAUGAGCAGAAGUGCAGGUAUGUUGUCACUUAAAUGGACAAACUGUAAAAAUGUUCAUUUAGACCCAAUAAUAAUGAGCAGAAGUGCAGGUAUGUUGUCACUUAAAUGGACAAACUGUAAAAAUGUUCAUUUAGACCCAAUAAUAAAGCCCAGCUUGUGAGAUGACAAUCUUCCAUUAUUUCCACAGUCAAAGACAGUUUAUCAGGACUAAUUGUUGCUGUGCAGGAAUUCACUGCAUUUAGUUUGAUGUUGUUGUUAAUUAGUUUUGAUGUUGUUGUUAAUUAGUUUCAUGUUGUUGUUAAUUAGUUUGAUGUUGUUGUUAAUUAGUUUUGAUGUUGUUGUUAAUUUGUUUUGAUGUUGUUAUUAAUUAGUUUGAUGUUGUUGUUAAUUAGUUUGAUGUUGUUGUCAAUUAGUUUGAUAUUGUUGUUAAUUAGUUUGAUGUUGUUGUUAAUUAGUUUGAUGUUGUUGUUAAUUAGUUUGAUGUUGUUGUUAAUUAGUUUUGAUGUUGUUGUUAAUUAGUUUGAUGUUGUUGUUAAUUAGUUUGAUGUUGUUGUUAAUUAGUUUGAUGUUGUUGUUAAUUAGUUUGAUGUUGUUAAUUUGUUUGAUGUUGUUGUUAAUUCGUUUUGAUGUUGUUGUUAAUUAGUUUUGAUGUUGUUGUUAAUUAGUUUGAUGUUGUUGUUAAUUAGUUUGAUGAUGUUGUUAAUUAGUUUGAUGUUGUUAAUUAGUUUGAUGUUGUUGUUAAUUAGUUUGAUGUUGUUGUUAAUUAGUUUUGAUGUUGUUGUUAAUUAGUUUGAUGUUGUUGUUAAUUAGUUUGAUGUUGUUGUUAAUUAGUUUGAUGUUGUUGUUAAUUAGUUUGAUGUUGUUGUUAAUUAGUUUGAUGUUGUUGUUAAUUAGUUUUGAUGUUGUUGUUAAUUAGUUUGAUGUUGUUGUUAAUUAGUUUGAUGUUGUUGUUAAUUAGUUUGAUGUUGUUAAUUAGUUUGAUGUUGUUGUUAAUUAGUUUGAUGUUGUUGUUAAUUAGUUUUGAUGUUGCUGUUAAUUAGUUUGAUGUUGUUGUUAAUUAGUUUGAUGUUGUUAAUUAGUUUGAUGUUGUUGUUAAUUAGUUUGAUGUUGUUGUUAAUUAGUUUUGAUGUUGCUGUUAAUUAGUUUGAUGUUGUUGUUAAUUAGUUUGAUGUUGUUGUUAAUUAGUUUGAUGUUGUUGUUAAUUAGUUUUGAUGUUGCUGUUAAUUAGUUUGAUGUUGUUGUUAAUUAGUUUGAUGUUGUUGUUAAUUAGUUUGAUGUUGUUGUUAAUUAGUUUUGAUGUUGUUGUUAAUUAGUUUUGAUGUUGUUGUUAAUUAUUUUGAUGUUGUUGUUAAUUAGUUUGAUGUUGUUGUUAAUUAGUUUGAAUUGACAACGUCAAAGUGGAGUUGAAACAUUUGUGACUAAAACCUUCCAGCAGCCAACUUGAGAGGGAAACAAGAAUUUGAUUGGAUCGUGAAGGGGAAUAAGGGGUAGAAAAUGGAUGGAUCAAAAUGUAGCAGCACAUUACAUUUUUCAGCACUGAAUUGUUUCUACUCAAUAGUUUUCUGCAGCGUCUUAUUUUGAUUUUGAUACUGAAAUGUUUUACACUGAAUUUCAUACUAUUUUUUUGCCUUGAAUUUUUUUUGCAUUAAAUAAUUUUGUGUUAUUUACUUUUUACACUGAAUGUUUUUACCCUGAAUUUCAUACAAAGAAGAUUUUUGCACUGAA